AGAGAAGUUCAAUAUGUCGUUCUUAGCAAUAUAGCAACAUUAUCAUCGACAAGGAAGGGAAUGUUUGAAGCGCAUCUGAAAAGUUUCUUCGUUCAUUCCAACGACUCAAAAUAUAUCAAAACAUUUAAGCUUGAAAUAAUGACGAACAUCGCUUCGGAAAGUAAUAUAACGCUACUAUUGCGG